UACGUAGGGGGCAAGCGUUGUCCGGAUUUACUGGGCGUAAAGCGCGCGUAGGCGGAAGCUCAAGUCUGGCCUGAAAGCCCCCGGCUCAACCGGGGAGUGGGGCUGGAAACUGGGUUUCUUGAGGGCGAUAGAGGAGUGUGGAAUUCCUGGUGUAGCGGUGAAAUGCGUAGAGAUCAGGAAGAACACCCGUGGCGAAAGGCGGCU
rnacentral:rRNA from 1 species